rnacentral:rRNA from 1 species
GUGUCAGCAGCCGCGGUAAUACGUAGGGUGCAAGCGUUAAUCGGAAUUACUGGGUGUAAAGCGUGCGCAGGCGGUUAUAUAAGACAGAUGUGAAAUCCCCGGGCUCAACCUGGGAACUGCAUUUGUGACUGUAUAGCUAGAGUACGGUAGAGGGGGAUGGAAUUCCGCGUGUAGCAGUGAAAUGCGUAGAUAUGCGGAGGAACACCGAUGGCGAAGGCAAUCCCCUGGACCUGUACCGACGCUCAUGCACGAAAGCGUGGGGAGCAAACAGGAUUAGAAACCCGUGUAGUCC